GUUCUCCGCAUCAGGACCUCCAUCACGGUAGGCUCUGGGACAACCACUCUGUUUUGGUUCGACCGGUGGGCCGGGGACUCCCCCUUCGCUGCCCGGUUCCCGGAUCUCUUCUCCAUUGCGGUGGAGCCUAGGAUCUCCGUCGAGACGGCCCUUAUUGACUUAGGGCGUCUCGCGUUCCGGCGGCCAUUUGGGCCCUCGGAAAUCGCCGCCUGGCAUGAGCCCCUGGAGGCUGUUGCGCUUCACGAGCCUGAUCUGGCGUAGCCUCAUGACCGCUUAUCCUGGUGCCUAGAGCCCUCGGGCCGAUUCUCCACGAAGUCCCUAUACCAGGCCAUCGCCCCCACCCCAGGCCCGGCGGUCCUCGAGUUGAUCUGGGCUAUCCGUGUUCCCCUCAAGAUCAGGAUCUUCCUGUGGCAAUGGAUCCGUGGCCGGCUUCCCUCCGGCGUAGAGGUGUUAAAACGACCCGGGCGAUGGGAUGUGUCCCCUAUGUGGGACUGA
rnacentral:rRNA from 1 species